rnacentral:lncRNA from 1 species
UUUAUUUCGUUUCUUCUCUGAGUGAGAGAGAGAGUUCUUAGCUAGUUCAUCGGUUUGAACCGGCUUGUUGAUUUGGUGGUCAGCCAAUCAUCUUUGUGUGUCAUUUGGUGGUUAGCCAACACACUACAUUCGUUCUUAGGUGGUUAGCCUUAGAUCGUGGGUAUAUCAAGAGCCAUUCCGCAUCUCUUGACGAUCCUUUCAAUCCAUCUCAGUUCCAGAAGCGCCAUUUGCUUCUCGGUUCAUAUCCAACACCC